GAGGGAGGAGGCAAGCGUUAUCCGGAAUUAUUGGGCGUAAAGCGUCCGCAGGUGGCGAUUCAAGUCUGCUGUCAAAGGUCGGGGCUUAACCCCGGGAAGGCAGUGGAAACUGAAUAGCUAGAGUGCGGUAGGGGCAGAGGGAAUUCCCGGUGUAGCGGUGAAAUGCGUAGAGAUCGGAAAGAACACCAGUGGCGAAAGCGCGCUGCUGGCCUGCACUGACACUGAGGGACGAAAGCUAGGGGAGCGAAAGGG
rnacentral:rRNA from 1 species